rnacentral:rRNA from 1 species
CCCUUAGAUGUUCUGGGCCGCACGCGCGCUACACUGACGAAUGCAACGAGCUUAUAACCUUGGCCGAAAGGUCUGGGUAAUCUCCAAAUUUCGUCGUGAUGGGGAUAGAUUAUUGCAAUUAUUAAUCUUCAACGAGGAAUGCCUAGUAAGCGCAAGUCAUCAGCUUGCGUUGAUUACGUCCCUGCCCUUUGUACACACCGCCCGUCGCUCCUACCGAUUGAAUGGUCCGGUGAAGCGUUCGGACCGUGGCCUUUGGACGGUUCGCCGUCUGUUGGCUGCGGGAAGUUCGUUAAACCUUAUCAUUUAGAGGAAGAGAAGUCGUAACA